rnacentral:rRNA from 1 species
GACCUGAGCUCAGGAA